rnacentral:misc_RNA from 1 species
UAAUAAGUGUUUCAUGGCACUUCUUAAAUCCAUAUCCACCUUGUGUGCAAUGUCAGCCGUUUUCUUUAUGAAAGCGGCCAAACAUCAACUUAUUUUUUAACUGUCUGUCUGAAAACUAUUAUGAAUAAACAAUUCAAAUA